UACGUAGGGUGCGAGCGUUGUCCGGAAUUAUUGGGCGUAAAGAGCUCGUAGGCGGUUUGUCGCGUCGUGCUGUGAAAACUCGGGGCUUAACCCCGGGCCUGCAGUGGGUACGGGCAGACUAGAGUGCGGUAGGGGAGACUGGAAUUCCUGGUGUAGCGGUGAAAUGCGCAGAUAUCAGGAGGAACACCGGUGGCGAAGGCGGGUCUCUGGGCCGAUACUGACGCUGAGGAGCGAAAGCGUGGGGAGCAAACAGG
rnacentral:rRNA from 1 species